AGCGAACGCUGGCGGUAUGCUUAACACAUGCAAGUCGAGCGCGAAAGUGACUACGGUCAUGAGUAGAGCGGCGGACGGGUGAGUAACACGUGGAUAAUCUGCCUUUAGGACUGGGAUAACCCUGGGAAACUAGGGCUAAUACCGGAUAAGACCACAGGUUCCAUGGAACCAGGGGUAAAAGGCGGCCUUCGGGCUGUCGCCGAAAGAUGAGUCCGCGUCCCAUCAGGUAGUUGGUGAGGAACGGCUCACCAAGCCGAAGACGGUAGCCGACCUUAGCGGGUGA
rnacentral:rRNA from 1 species